UAACAGGUAGUAGCUCUGGUAGAG
rnacentral:siRNA from 1 species